rnacentral:rRNA from 1 species
GCAGUAGCCACGGUAAUACGGAGGAUCCAAGCAUUAUCCGGAAUCAUUGGGUUUAAAGGGUCCGUAGGCGGUUUAGUAAGUCAGUGGUGAAAGCCCAUCGCUCAACGGUGGAACGGCCAUUGAUACUGCUGAACUUGAAUUAUUAGGAAGUAACUAGAAUAUGUAGUGUAGCGGUGAAAUGCUUAGAGAUUACAUGGAAUACCAAUUGCGAAGGCAGGUUACUACUAAUUGAUUGACGCUGAUGGACGAAAGCGUGGGGAGCGAACAGGAUUAGAGACCCCGGUAGUCCCUGUCUCUUAUAA